CUCUCCGUGUCUGUGCCGGGACAGGCGGCCAUCUGCAUCAAAUUCCCGCAGCACGUCUUUCACUUUCAGGCUGCAAUCUGGAAGAGGUUCGCACAAGGAGGGAAAAAGUCAAGCUGAAUGAAGUCGACGGGGUUGAGCUCCUUGACUUCUUUGCUGGCGGGGGUGGACAUGCUGCGUGAGCUCGGGCGCGAGACGCGGCGAGGCGAAACUGUGGAGACGAGUGACAAGGAGGAAGCCAGAGUACCCAGAGAACACCCAUGCAAGCACUGGGAGAACAUGCAAACUCCACAUAGAAAAGGCCAGAGCCGACAUUCGAACCCCCGAAAUGUAAUGAAGACGUGCUAACCACUAUUCCGCCGUGCUGCUAUGGGAACAUUUGUGUCCAAAUUUUUACAAAAAUUGAAGGUUGAGCAGCAUCUUGGAAAUAAUUGUGCUCCACUGUGCAGCCUGUAUUUACAUAGUCAUCAUUAUUAAUAAAUGGUGAUCCA